rnacentral:lncRNA from 1 species
ACUGAGCAGUAUUAGCUGACCCUGCGUCGUCUCAUGCUACGUGUGCCUCCUGGCCAUUCAAAUUGUCAGGUUUAGGGACAGAAGUAUCCAAACCACAAGUUCUCAGUACUAUGUGAAAAAUGGCUCCUUGCAAGUCAAAGAGUAAAUAGAGAAACUUAUCUAUUACGCCUGUUAGAGUUCCAUAGAUGUGCUGUUGGAAAUGAGUAAGUAAAUGUGUUUUAACUCUCUUUACAAAUUAG